rnacentral:rRNA from 1 species
ACCCCACCCCCGCGGGCGGCCCGGCCCCGAAAANAGACCCGNNGNNCNNNCNCCGCCGCCCACAAACNCCCCCCGCGCCGGCCGACCCCCGGGAGGGGCGCAGAACCAGCCGGCCAAACAAACCCGCCCCCGACCGCCCGCCCCCGGNGAGGGCUCCAGACCNCCAGCCCAAAAGGGGGAAAAACCAUUUNCCCCCCCCCCCCCCGCCCCAGGGGGGGGGGGGGCGNCCCNNNNACNCCGGGGGGGGGGCCCCCCGCGGGGGAGGUCAAAAAAAANNNNNUUUCCUCUUGGGGAACCCCGGGAGGGAACAUUAAAGAAGUUCCCAAAAUCCCCCAACAAUUUUGGACCUUACCCUCCAACAGUGGUUGGGGGGGGGGGGGAAAGAGGCCCCCCGGGGCCCCCAAAGGGGGCGCCCCCCCGAGGAUAACCAAACUCCUGAUACUUUAUGGCCUCUCUGAGUCUUCUGUACUGAAUAAAUCAAAACUUUCAACAACGGAUCUCUUGGGUCUGGCAUCGAUGAAGAACGCAGCGAAAUGCCAUAAGUAAUGUGAAUUGCAGAAAUCAGUGAAUCAUCGAAUCUUUGAACGCACAUUGCGCCCCCCAGUAUUCUGGCGGGCAUGCCUGUUCGAGCGUCAUUUCAACCAUCAAGCCCCCGGGCUUGUGUUUGGGGACCUCCGGCUGCCCGCAGCCCCUGAAAAACAGUGGCGGGCUCGCUGUCACACCGAGCGCAGUACCAUCAUCUAGCUCAGGGCCGUGCUGCGGGUUCCGGCCGUAAAAAGCUUCAAUUAACCAGGUUGACCUCGGAUCAGGUAGGAGACCCGUUAAAUUUAGCAUAUAUUAGCGGGGAAAACUUAUNUUUUCCUUUCGNCUCUNUNUUU